rnacentral:tRNA from 1 species
CAGAGCGUGGCUUAAUAGGACAGCGUCUCCCUUACACUGAGAAGACUAUCCGUGCAAAUCGGAUCGCCCUGA